UUGCAUCUUGGGAACUCUUAUUCUUCUCCUCCUCCUUUUGGGAAUAAAACUACCUGUGGCAUGCUAUAGAAAAUCAAGGAGUUUUCAGGGCUAUUAACCAUGUAGUGAAGAUUAAGUGGUAGUCUUUUGCUCUUACAGAA
ensembl:snoRNA